GUUUAUCCAUAUUUUUUCUUCAAAAUCUAAAACUGUUCAAAACAAAAAUUUACUGCUGAGCAAAAAAGAAAUAACAAACUUGAAUAAAGUACGAAUGGACUUGAUAAGGCUAAAUAGCAGUUAACUGAUAAAAACAGGCUCUCAAGGUCUUCAAAGCAGUGGCUCUCAACCGGCAUCUGAUGUUUUUCCGGUAAAUAAGAAGAAAUCUUGCCAGCAAGAUUUAAAGAUUAAAGAUCCUUGAAGGAAGUUUUGUCUGAAUUUAAAAUAGAAACGUGGCAACAGGUCUCAUUUAUUUAUUAUUCCAAUAUCUGGAUUCUUGAACUAUAAUAAACAAAUGUACUUGCUAGUGCGCAAUUAUGUUACGUAAAAAGCGAUAAGCAAAAACAAAAA